CAUGUACUCCCUUUGUUUCGAAUUACUUGUCGCAGGUAUGGAUGUAUCUAGAUGUAUUUUAGUUCUAGAUACAUCCAUUUCUGCGACGAGUAAUUUGAAACGGAGGGAGUAGUAG
rnacentral:pre_miRNA from 1 species